rnacentral:tRNA from 1 species
UGGGUUAUAGCUCAGUGGUAGAGCGCUCACCUCGCACUUGUGAGGUGCUGGGUUCGAUCCUCAGCACCACAU